UGGUGGAGGGGAACUAGAUGGUUGUGGUGGUGUAGCUUGGUAUGGAGGUGGACUAGGUUGACUAUAGGUGGGAGGUGCAGUGGGUGCACUUGGUGGUGGUGGAGGCAAAUUGUUGGUUGGAGGACUAGAUUGUGGUGGCAUGGGAGAUUUGUAUGGAGGCAUGGUAGGAGGGAUAGAGGGUGAGAGCGGUGGCUGGUUAUUUGGCGGAGGUGUGGUUGGGGUACUUGAAGGUGGUGGAGGGGAACUAGAUGGUUGUGGUGGUGUAGCUUGGUAUGGAGGUGGACUAGGUUGAGUGUAGGUUGGAGGUGCAGUGGGUGCACUUGGUGAUGGUGGAGGCAAAUUGUUGGUUGGAGGACUAGAUAGUGGUGGCACGGGAGAUUUGUACGGAGGCAUGGUAGGAGGGAUAGAGGGCGAGAGUGGUGGCUGGUUAUUUGGUGGAGGUGUGGUUGGGGUACUUGAAGGUGGUGGCAGGGAACUAGAUGGUUGUGGUGGUGUAGCUUGAUGUGGAGGUGGACUAGAAUGCAAUGGAGGUGGUUGACUAUAGGUUGGAGGUGCAAUGGGUGGACUCGACGGUGGUGGUGGCAAAUUGUUGGUUGGAGGACUAGAUUGUGGUGGCAUGGUAGGAGGGCUAGAGGGCGACGGGGUUGGUUGGUGAUUUGGUGGAUAUGUUGGAGGUGUGGUUGGGGUACUUGAAGGUGGUGGAGGGGAACUAGAUUGUUGUGGUGGUGUGGCUUGGUGUGGAGGUGGACUAGGUAUCAAUGAAGGUGGUUGACUAUAAGUUGGUGGUGCAAUCGGUGGACUUGAUGGUGGUGGAGGCGAAUUGUUAGUUGGAGGCUUGGCUGGAGGACUAGAUUGUUGUGGUGGAGGAGAUUUGUGUGGAGGCAUGGUUGGAGGGCUGGAGGGCGACGAGGGUGGUUGGUUAUUUGGCGGAUAUAUCGGGGCUGUGGUUGGGGUACUUGAAGGCGGUGGAGGGAAACUGUUGCUUGGAGGCGUCACAGGAGGGCUGGACUUUGGUGGUGGAGGAUAUUGUUGUGGAGGUGUUUCUUGGGGACUUGAAGAUUGUGGAGGUGUACCUGAGGAGGAGGGAGGCCCUGAUGAGUCAUUAGACGGUGAUGGUGACUCUUGGUCAUGACCACAGUCAUCUUUCUUUGGAUGCCCGUGACCAUCACCAUGUGGGUCUGGACCUUUCCCUGGCUUUUGGCAAUGUGGGUUCUUCACUGGCCCAACCCCAUUACUGCCGUCACCUUUGUCAGUGCCUUGCUCUCCAUCACCUCCCUUAUCUCUCUGUGAGUUGUGAUCACUGCCAUCCUUGGAAUCAGAACCAUGCCCCUUGUCCCCAGACGACUUGUCGUCAUCGGCUUGGACUAUGUGAACGGUGAGGAGGAGGGUGAGAAGGAACAGAGCUACUAUCCAUCUCAUGGCGUGAGAUCGCUGGCCGCCUAGCUGCCAGCGAUUAGCAAGACAGGUUACUGCCUACUAGCUCACUGAUGGCUUGUGUUGCAUGGGCAGGGCGAUGUCUCUAUUUAUAGUGGUGUAGCACAUUGGUUACUCCAUGGUAGCUAGCUAGAUGCAUAGAGUUUACUCGACCUGUUCCGAUCGAUCGAGAUGCAGAAGCUUCUCUCUUCUCAGCGGGCUUGGCUUUUGUUAAUUCAGUGUCAGCUGCCUAUCUGAAUUAACUAUACAUAUCAUCACUUGUUCACGUCUAUGACCAUAGAAACAGAAUCUUAUAAGCUGACAGUAGCCGUCCAUUGCUAGAUAUGAUUUCCUGCUAUAUUAACGUUGACAUUUUGAAGCGUACGCGGAUCUCCGCGCGCAUAGGCACAGAGCAUCUUACCAGCUCGUGGUUCGUGGCAUGCAGUCAGAUGAUAUUUGCUGACACACGGCUCCAUCAGGAAACUAAAUUAGCUGGGAUAUCUGUAAGCUGUGGACACAGAGACGGUUUGACCUUUUUAAGCUUUCAUAGGAAUUAAUUUAAUUUUAUGUAGAUUUAUAAAAUAUCGCCAAGCACACGAACCCAGAAUGGCAGGCUCUGUGAAGUCGCCAGCAUGCAUCUCUACGUGCCAUCUCAUAUCACGUGAUUACGUCAGGCACUGGAUCUUGUAGCCAUUUUGGAGGUACAGGUAGCAUCUAUCAAACUCAACACCUGAUCCAAUGAUCUGCCAACUGAAAACUAUAUUUAGGUUGAUAGCACAAAUGUAUACUCUCUUCAUUCUAAAAUUACAUUUACCAUAAGCUAAUAACUAGUUUUUUUUGUUUUAAACUGAGUCUCAACAAUGAUUGCGAAACCACUCACUAUAAGAAAAGAUACAUUGUAGAAAUUCUUAAAAGUUCAAUACUAUUAAUUCGCUGCGACAAAACUGUCCAGUUUAUUUAACUCAAAUGCACUAGCCGACCUCUCAGAAUAGCAGUAAAUAAAGGAAGAGACCGAUUUGAUUACACAUAGUGGAAGCAAUUUCAUUGCUACACCAUGAUGUUCAGGAGUCGAAUACAAAGAUACCGAAAUAAUUCACAACAAACAACAGAUGUGUUUCCAGGGACUCGGACAACAAACUACAAUAAGCAGCUACGACAACACCAAAAGAACACAAGUCGGAAGGCAUCACUUUGCCAUGAGCAAGACAGAUUUAACCGAGUCAACCAGCGAGUACCCACCCACCGAGACGUGUACUCGAUCAGUGACUUCUCCCCUCGGAUCUUCAUCUGCAACAGUUAGCAAGACUUAUCAGAGUGCGGGCUCUCGUUAGGUUCCUGGAAGCGAUUCCUUGAAAUGAUUUUCAGCCAGGAUAAUUGACUAACUUGUAUAAUCUUACAUCAGCCGGAUUGGUUCCUAGGCUCAUUCCAGGUUAAAACCGAAUGAGCUCUAAACAGAAAUAUAUUUAGCCUCACCCUUAAGAGUACGCAGGAGGCUAUUUGGCUAGCGAGUGUUGCUUGCAGAAUAGCGUACUAACUCUUGGUCUUCAACUUUCAUGCUUUUAUCACUAGUAGUUUGUACUUAACCUGUUCGAUUAAGAUUGCACUCACUAAAAUUAUCCGUGGACAGACUUGCAUUUCACAUCUUACAGACAUAUAGAUAUUUCCACACUACUUUUUUCACAGAUAUGCUUGUUAGCAUGUGUUUCAUUGAGAAGAUAGGAGUUGAAAAUACAACAAGGAGCAAGCAGACUAGGGGCAUGCCACACGACGUCCACAAGUACAAAAAUGUUAAUUAUGUACUAUGAAGCCGGUUCUACUGCAACGAAAGCUAGAACACUUCGAUGAGUAGACUAUCAGCAGAAUCACGAACGUCGCUAGGCGGGACCGUCACUAGACUAAGGCGUUAGCGUCAUCUGUUCAUUCCUGAGACCGCACAAUCAACCGUGACGCCUAUGUUUAUCCCUCAGACCGCACAACCAGAGACGGUGAAUGCAGGAACCGUGAUGCCUAUGUCACUAGUACAUGGCACAUUAUACACGCGGUUGGUAAGGCGUUUUCCAGCACCGCCUGCGCUGGGGGCCAGUAGAAAUCGUCCAUUUCCACAGGCGGUUGCUUGAGAGCCGCCAGUAGAAACCGUUUACACAGACGGCUCUCUUAGGGAACCGCCUGUGUAAAUGCACAUUUACACAGGCAGUUCCCUAAGAGAACCGCUCGUGAAAACCUAUUAAAAAUGUAUUAUUUAUUUAUUUAUUUAUUUAUUAUUUUAUUAUUAUUAUUUAAAUAUAUUGAUAUUGGUUGGUCUUCAAACAUAGCAACAUGCAAUUUAAAUACUUCAUCUCAUACAUACAUUUGUAUACAUCAAAGUUUGGUGCUCAAAGACAUAAAGUUAAUUACAAGAGUAUAUCCAUCAUCACACAUCAUAUAUAUAUAUACUUCAAAGUUUGUUUCUGUCCUCUAAUAACCCUCUUUAGUAAGUUUGAGUAAACUAGUCUCUGUUAGCACUCGGAACUGUGACCUGGAUAAUUGGCUUUCAUCAUCAUGAUAUUUGCCUUCACGUGGAAUGACAUGCUUCAUGAUGAACGAGUAGAUGUCCUCAACUAUGUUGUCUAAAGCACGUUCGUCCAUGCGUUCCGCCGUCCCUUGCUUAUAUACCUGCAAAGAAAGUUUAUAAACAUUAUAUAUUUUAUGACUUCCAACUUUAAUAAACUAUUACUUAUAUUACCUUGUCAGGGUUCCUUGCAUAUCGUUCGUUCUCUCUCAUGUUCUCGCACACGUAGUAGCCACAGAGGACACAUAAGGGUGGCUGCUUCAUGCACUGUAUAACAGGAGAGUGGUUAUUUAAUUAGAGUUGCAACUGUGGUCCUAUGUGUAUGAUUUGUAUUCAUAACAGUAAAUUUUUAUAUGUAUCGGCCAGUUAUGUAUAACCUCCAAUGGUUUUCCUGGUCUGUUGGACUCACACUUUCUAUAGUUUAUCUUAUAGAACCUGUAUGCCCUAUGAUCUCAAAUAGAAUCACCAUGUUAUUGUCAAACUCUCACUAUGCUUAAGUAUGCAUGCAUAGCUUGACUUACAGCUCUAGAAGUUUGAUGAAUGGAGCAUAGCUUUCUUUCGGGUAAUCUGUGGAGUCUAGUACCAACACCCUUUCCUCCUUGGGAUAAAUGAUGAAGCAUAUCCAGUGGUUCUUGCUCGAAUUAAAUCCAUGAUGCAUUUAUGCAUUGGAAUAGUUUAGAUAGAUAUUUGUAAACUCACACUUACCCAAAGUGGUACGGGGCCACCACCGCUUUCCUAUCUUGAAACUUUAUUAGUGAAUGUCCAAUAUAGAAGGCGUAUUUGGCUUCAAAAUCAAGUUUCAACUUUUGGAGUUUCUCAUCCCGUUCCGCACCUUCCAAACCCUAUACCUCUGUGCUGGCAUUCCCGAUCCGAAAUGUGUGCUGAUUUUUGGCUAUAUCUAUUGGGAAGAGAUAGCCAUUACUUUCUUCGACACAAUAAUUAAAGUUCGAACCAAAAUACAAAUCUUGUUGAUCAUAUAACAUUAUGCAAGACAGAAGCAUGUCAGAUAUUGAAAAUUGAUGCAACUACAAUGUGUGUAACUAUGUAACACUUACAAUGCAAAUGUCGUUACGAUCUGUACAUCUAGCAUCUUGUGGUUCAUCAGUGCCCACAUGUCAUCAAAUGUAAGCAUGCAUUUGUCAGUAUUCUGGCUAAGAAAUGCUAUUUGUGGUAUGCGCAUGCUUAUGGUGUCGAUGCCAGCAGAAGAGGCUCUCAUGUACCAGUCAUGAAACCUUUUUAUACCACUUGGUUUCUUCAUAAGUUUGGCCCGACUGAGUAGAGGCUUUCCCCACACAUACUUUUUGGGGAUAUGCUUGUAGUCUUCUGCAGUUGGCACCUUGAAUUUGACAAGAGUUAUGACCUUAGGCGCCGGCACCUCUGACUUUGCUAGCUCAGAAAUCUCAUGCUCUUGUACUGUUCGUUUAGAAGCAAUGCUUGACAAAAAUCUCACUUGACCAGCUGAUUUUUUCUUUGGCUCGUAUGAUGAAAUCAACUUGGGUAUCGGAAAUACUUUCUUCUUAAUUGGCACCUUUGGUGGCUCACUUCUUGGUUCUGGAUCUUUGAGUUAUGGGGAAGGGGUGGAAUUGAAUGGUGGUGGAGAUUGUGUUGACUGUGGGGUAGAAAGAUCAUGGAGAGGAGAUGGUUGAUGGACAGGGAAAACAUGGAGAGGUGAUUCUGGUGGGUCAGGAAGAGACUGGGGAGGUGAAGGCGGUGGGUUAAGAAGAGGAUCGACAUGAGCUGACGACUCCUGGGUGAGUGGCAUGUCUUGAGAGGGUGGUGGUGGCUCCCUUAGUUGCACGUCCCUCGGAGGCGAAACGAUGAAAUUGUUUAUCGUCUGUCUUAGUUUCACAAUGUCCUUAGGACUAGGGAUGUCUAGAAUUUCGUCCUCAUAUCCUUGGACCACGGUUGAUACCUCUACUCUGCAGUAGUCUUUACAAAUGUCAGCACCAUGGUAUUUAGGUCCUCCUGGGAUCGCUUUGUCUGUGGCUACUUCCCUUGUACGAUGAUUGUUAAUCCCAUAUCUUAUGACAAGGGAGCAAGGUGUAGAAGUAACAAUGUCGUCAACUGGAUAGUGAUCCUUGUUUGCCGUAGAUGCGACACUGCUUGGAAUGAUUGUUUCACUCGGUGCCACCAACGGUUGCGACACCACUAGGACUAACUGCAUUUGGGGAGCUUGAGUGCUCAUCUGUUGAUUGGACACGGCACUUGCUAGUUUCUGCAUCAACUUAGGAGGAGGGUUUUCUAGCAACUUCCCCAUCAUCUCUUGGAAGUCUUUCUUAGCCUCUGCCUGAAAAUAAUUUGCCAUUUGUUCCUUGUACUGAUCACGUUUCUUAUACUCAUUUUUCCACUGAGGGCCGAAUCCAUCCUUCCAUCCUUCUUUGGAUGAGAUGCCUCGAACACGGCCAGGAUGCUCGGGGUUACCGAGGCCAACACUCAGGAUGUCCCUCUCCCUUCGUGGCGUGAACUUGCCUUCCUGCUGCAAGCCUGCCACUGCAAAGAUGCUCUUCAUUGCUUCACCAAGCAUUGGGUCUUCAAAGGACACACUCGUCUCGGUUUCCUUUGGUUUCCGAGCAUCGAUCCAAUUCGCGGACCUUUCACCGACUUGCUCGGACAGCAUUGGCAACCCUACUGCCUUCUUCGCAGCCUCUUCUUGCCUCUAUUUAGGAACUUGGUGCUGGUAACCACCUGUGCCUAGAUGGUGGUGGUACUUGUUCCUCUUUGUGAGUUGGGAGUUGGCUUCGCUCCAAGCUAAGAAGUUAGGGUCAUUCCUCUGCUCUAGAAAAACAACCCACUGCCCUUUAGUAAUCUUGUAUUUAGUUGUCGGAUCCAUCUCUAUCUUUGCAUACUUGACAUUCAUCUCCGACCUCCAAUUUUGGAAACUAACCGCACACUGCUUCAUUGUAUAUGCCUUUACUAAAUCUUCUGGCACAUUCAUAGGAAACUGGAACCCCGUCUUAAUCUUAUCCCAAAUUUUGAUCUUGUGAUUAUUCGACACACCGGACCAGUUCUUAAUUGUGAUAUCAAGAAAGUCCCUCACAUAGAAACCAAUUGUGUUUCUGUAUUUGGGUAGGGCCUCCUCUGGAGCUAGGGCUGUCCGGUAGGGCUCACAUCUGUGAUGGCAUAUGUGUCAUCUAGAAAUUGGUUCAACCCUCUCUCGCCUCGUUUCAAACCUAGCCGCUUCCUUUUCCUCUCUCGUCGUUGCGGUCGUCGGUUUCGGUGCGUCUUCGUGUGCCACUUCCUCCUGAGACAUCAUCACUCUAAACUGAGACAUUGCCUCCUAAGUAUAGACAUGUGAAUCAUGGGCGUGUUUCUAUAUAGAAACUAUAAAUAGAAAUCAUUUAAUUACAUGAAAUCGUGAAUGUCUCUAAUUUACCUCAUCGGCUUUUGGAUUGUAAUCGGGGUCACGUGCCAAUUCACAACGAGUCUUCCUCACUUCUAGAGGCUCCAUGUCGUCGCUAGCUUCUUGUUCGUAGGACGAUCCUGAUGCUUCGCCCGUUUCUACUUGUUUCGUGACCUCACGAUCUUUUUCCAUAGGGUGGGAUGACCCUUCUACUUGCUCUGUGGUUGGGACUGCAGUGCUUCGUCCUUGUGCGGAGAACUCAUCGCAGAAAUCUAUGUAAUUUAUAAAUAAAAUUAAAUUUAUGUAUAAAAUUAAAUUUAUGUAUCUUGGGGUAUAUACACUAAUAUAUCGUACUAUACACCAAUACAUACACAAAGAGAUUAAAUUUACAUACACUAAUACACUAACAUAUUAUAAAGCAUAAAAUUAAAUUUAUGUAUUGUGGGGUAUAUACACUAAUAUAUCAUACACUAACAUAUACACUACUACAUAUAUAAAGAGAUUAAAUUUACAUACACUAAUACACUAACCUAUAUUAUAAAGCAUACAAUUAAAUUUAUGUAUCCUGCAUAUAUCAUACACUAACAUAUACACUAAUACAUACACAAAGAGAUUAAAUUUACAUACACUAAUACACUAACAUAUAUUAUAAAACAUAAAAUUAAAUUGAUGUAUCCUGGGGUAUAUACACUAAUAUAUCAUACACAAAUAUAUUAAAUGAUUUACAAAGAGAUUAUAACAAAAAGAUAAAAUUAAAUUUACAUAUACACUAAUACAUAUACAAAGAGAAAUAAUAACAAGUAUUUAUAAAAGGAAUAACAAUUAUUUAUAAAAUAAUAACUAUGAAUAAAAUCACAUGUAAAAGACAUAAUAAUAUCUCCUGAUUUUAUUUUUAUUUUUUCUGAUUUUUAUAAUUUUUUGCCUUUUUUAUGGUUUUAUUCAUUUUUUAUAAAAAAUAAAUUGUUAAAGUAAAAAAAACUUCCCAGCCCGUGACUCCCUCUCCAUUCUCUCCCUCUCUCUGGCAGGUGGGCCUCACAUGUCGGGGUUGUCCCCUACCUCUAGCCACUCCGCGCCCGCCCCUUCCACCACCACCGCACACCGCACCCACCCCUUCCCCUUCCACCACCGCCACCGCGGCCGCCCUUCCCCUUCCACCACCACCGCGGCCACCACCCUUCCCCGUCCGGUGCAGCGCCACCACCGCGCCCCCACCACAGCCGCCGCCGCCACGUCGAGGAUACGCAGGGAGAGAGAGAGAGAGAGAGAGCGAGGAGGAGAGGCUCACCGCGGGGCGGCUACGGCGUCGAGGGCGGAGGGGUCCGGCUACGGUGUCAAGGGCGGAGGGGUCCGGCUACGGCAGCAACGGCGUCGAUGGCGGCUACGGCGGUGGUGGAAAAUUCGGCAGCCUGUCGGCUUAGUUUGAAUGAACAGGGCGCCAGACUUAGAAAAAUUUUGGGCGGAGGAGACCGAGGGUUAUAUACAUUGGCACUAGUACAGGCGGUUGUCUAAGAUAACCGCCUGUAGAAAUAGUUUCUACAGGCAGUUGACUAAGACAACCGCCAGUACUAAUGCAUUAGUACUGGCAGUUCUCUAAGACAGCCGCCAGUACUAAUGCAUUAGUACUGGCGGUUCACUCUGAGGGCCGCCUGUAUAAAUGUAUUUUCAGUUUAUUUAAAGUUUUCCUUAUAUAUAUUUUUAGAAAUUAUUUAAAUGAUUUAAAAAAUCAUAUCUUCAAAAAUAUUUGUCCUAAAUUAGUGAAAAAAAUUUUGUUAUGUUCCUCUUGACUAGAUACACAUGUUAAAAAUAUGAAAUUUCAUGUUUGAGGUACUUUUGUAUGCAGCUUUAUUUAAAAUGAUUUAAAUUGAAUAUGUAUCUCAUAUCUUGCUUAAUACAUAAAUAAUUCUAGGAAUACCAGAAAAAAGUAAAUCCAAUUUUGUUAGCUUUAUUGUAGUGUGUAAAUGCUAUGAAAAAUAUAUUCCUUUGUGCAAUUUACCGUUGACAAUAUAAAGGUGAGGAACUUAUAUGUUUGAGCAUAGUUCGGUGGAAUGGCUCUUCUACGUUUGUGAAGCAUGUAUCUUAUGCCUAUCUCUAAAUGUCUUAAAAAUUUUUUGGCAAGCUUCUACACUGAAAUGAUGAUCCCACACAAGAUCUUAGGAUUUUCUAGUCAUGCAAGCUAUUAUUACAUUUUUCUUUGUGCUAAAUGAGAUAAAAAAUGGUGGACUACACCUAGAUCCCACUAGGUUUUUCCACCAAC
rnacentral:lncRNA from 1 species